UACAGAGGGUGCGAACGUUGCUCGGAAUUACUGGGCGUAAAGCGCGUGUAGGCGGUCCGUUAAGUUGGGAGUGAAAUCCCAUGGCUCAACCAUGGAAGUGCUGCCAAAACUGGCGGGCUGGAGUGCCGGAGAGGGUGGCGGAAUUCCCAGUGUAGAGGUGAAAUUCGUAGAUAUUGGGAGGAACACCGGUGGCGAAGGCGGCCACCUGGACGGUAACUGACGCUAAGACGCGAAAGCGUGGGGAGCAAACAGG
rnacentral:rRNA from 1 species